UGUGGCUCCGCAGCCACGCACCACUACCAAGACUGGCAGGAAUACUAAGUUCAGCUAUGCUGAAAACAUGGCGUUGGUGCGUGAGCUCAUGAAGCACCAUCGGCAAUUGUUUGGGCAGGAUGCUGCCAAGGUGUCCUCCCGCAGGAAGUCUGUUCUGUGGGGGAAAGUAAUAGUGGCAGUAAAUAGUGAGGGUGUGGUGAGGCGGACUGAGGACACGUGUCGCAAGAGGUUCUACGACAUAAAGCGCCGUGUCAAGGCCAAGAUGGCCAAAGAGGCUAAAUCAGCCCGCAAAACUGGGGGUGGCCCCCCUUUCCGGGCAACCUAUCGUGACUGGGAGGAGCCUGUGCGGGCACUGAUUCCUGCAGAAGUGGUGUCUGCAACUCAUGUCCGGGAUUCGGACCGACCCACGCAGGAUGGUGAGUUUGAAAUUUAUAAAUUAUAUUGUAAAGAUUGAAAAAUGAUAAUGCUGCAAAAAGAAUUUUUUUUAAAAGUAUGCAUACAUUGUGUUGGUCAUGUAUUGCAGGCCUGUGCACCCUUAAGCUGUUUUUGUGUUUUGAAAAUGCAUUUCCCAUCAUGCCUUGGCUGUAUAUUUUUAAAUUUUUAAUGCAAAAUCAGGUGCAGUGCAUGCUGGUAUGUGUAGUUCCAAAAAUUAAUAUGAGAUAUUGCUUGGCCAUAGCUGUUGUAUCUAAUAGCAGCUUGUUAUGAUUUGUGUGUGUGUUUUUAAUUUGUUUUUUUUAUAAUCAUUUUUUUCCAGUUUGGUUCAAGUUGCAAGUAAUCAAUCUCUGCAAUAUCUGACACAUAAUUCAUCAAUGUUACUGAUUUAUUUUGUGCAACACCAUGUUCAUUUUUAGAUACAUCACAAAUUAAGGAAUCACGAAGAUCUUAAGCAGAAAUUAGUUUACUUUACAAUACGUACAAGAUGGUUACAGUACACUAAGGCUUUGCAGUUAGCAUUUUUUUACAAAGUAUGGUCAUAAUGUUUUUUCAACUUUUUCAACAGUCCGACAGACCAGCCGGCCAGACAGGCCACAGACAACUCAUGAUGAUGCUGGGAUUGCAGGUUCAGCUUCUGUAAGCCGCCCUCCUCUAAGGCGCCCAUCACAGGGCUCGGGUCACUUACCCAGGAGGCCAAGUAAGACACGGCGUCUUGUCUCCGAAUCUGCGGCUCCAUCUUCCCCACCCAGGCGGCGCAUUUCUGCAGUCUCACCCCAGCCACCACAGGCACUAUUGGCUAGUCCACAGAGUGAUGAGCCACGAUCACCUCAGUUAUCUGAGCCAAGCUUGAUGGCCGACGUGGACCAGCAGGGACAAGACCAACAGGCAACAUACAACCUAACACCUGUUGGCCCGAGCCAGCCAUUACAGCCGCAGGAUAUCCCCCAAGCCUCCAUGAGUCCACAACUGGUCCAAGCUCCACCCCAGCCACAAAUUCCAGAUGACUUUUGGUCCAGUUGGACAAGCCAACAGACCCAAAGCAAUGCCAGCCUGACCGCCCAUACCCAACACCUUGCCAGUCUGCCCCAUCAUCUACCGCGCAUUAGUCGCAACUCGGGCAGACUGAUUGUCCAAGUAGGCCGAAUCGCAACAUCUAUGGAGCAAAUACGGGCAGACAACAACCAAAUGCUGGCUCAUUUGACGCGCAUCAUUGAUGAGCAACAGCACCAGCACCAAACACUCAUACAACUGAUACAACACAACCAGGUUGUGAAUGAAUCAUUAUCCCGGAUUGUAGCCAGCCACACUGCAACCAACACACAACUGAAUGCCAGCAUCAAUAAUUUAAGCAACAACAUAUCAUUGAUGGCAGCACAACAAGUGAGCUCCAGCUCUGGAACCACGACCCCUAGCCAAACGCCAGUAACCUCCCCUGUUCGGCGAUCCUCCCGAGCAUGUGCCAGUGAGCCAGCACAAAGCACAGCACCCAGCACACACAAGCGCAAAAAAUAAAACAAACCAAACAUUUGUGUAACUCAAUAAAAAAAAU